AGGUUUACCUGUGUGACUGCGUACCUUUUGUAUAAUGGGUCAGCGACUUAUAUUCUGUAGCAAGGUUAACCGUAUAGGGGAGCCGGAGGGAAACCGAGUCUUAAUUGGGCGUUAAGUUGCAGGGUAUAGACCCGAAACCCGGUGAUCUAGCCAUGGGCAGGUUGAAGGUUGGGUAACACUAACUGGAGGACCGAACCGACUAAUGUUGAAAAAUUAGCGGAUGACCUGUGGCUGGGGGUGAAAGGCCAAUCAAACCGGGAGAUAGCUGGUUCUCCCCGAAAGCUAUUUAGGUAGCGCCUCGUGAAUUCAUCUCCGGGGGUAGAGCACUGUUUCGGCUAGGGGGCCAUCCCGGCUUACCAACCCGAUGCAAACUGCGAAUACCGGAGAAUGUUAUCACGGGAGACACACGGCGGGUGCUAACGUCCGUCGUGAAGAGGGAAACAACCCAGACCGCCAGCUAAGGUCCCAAAGUCAUGGUUAAGUGGGAAACGAUGUGGGAAGGCCCAGACAGCCAGGAUGUUGGCUUAGAAGCAGCCAUCAUUUAAAGAAAGCGUAAUAGCUCACUGGUCGAGUCGGCCUGCGCGGAAGAUGUAACGGGGCUAAACCAUGCACCGAAGCUGCGGCAGCGACGCU
rnacentral:rRNA from 1 species